AUGAAAUAUGAAGUUUUAUUAAAAGAAAAAAGGGUGAAAAGAACAAAGUUUUGUCCAUCUUUGUUCAUCAUAGCUGAAAGUUAGAGAAGAGAAAGGAGAGGAGAAAGCUCUUGAGUAUUCAGUCAUUAGGAGGAGGAAAAUUGAAGGCAGUUCGUGUGUGGAUCUCGUCAGCAUAUCGUCGCAAACAGGAAAUCCCCAACCAUAGUGGGCUUGGAGCUGUGAGGGAAUUCGGAGUGGCCACCCGUUCUGAAAGUUUGAUUUUCUUCUGGUGAACUGGACAUCCUUUUAUUUACGUUUGAAGUUUUGGGCUUUUAAAUGUAAUAAGGCCACUUAAUUAUUUUUGAUGGUUUUAAUAUGUAUUACUAAGAUAGGUAAUACUUAUUUUAACUGUUGAAAUUGGAUAGCUUUAGGGCGCGUUUUCAAAAACAACAAUUGAUUUCAAAAUAACACGACAACAAGCAAAGCUUCCGCAAUAAAA